UACAUGGGGUGCAAACGUUGCUCGGAAUUAUUGGGCGUAAAGCGCACGUAGGUGGUCCCUUAAGUCGAACGUGAAAUCCCCGGGCUCAACCCGGGAACUGCGUCCGAUACUGGCUGGCUUGAAUCCGGGAGAGGGAUGCGGAAUUCCAGGUGUAGCGGUGAAAUGCGUAGAUAUCUGGAGGAACACCGGUGGCGAAGGCGGCAUCCUGGACCGGCAUUGACGCUGAGGCGCGAAAGCCAGGGGAGCAAACGGG
rnacentral:rRNA from 1 species